rnacentral:rRNA from 1 species
AUGGGUGAUGCGGAGUGCGUGGAUGACUUUGCAGCGAGGUUCACGACGCUUGUGGGGCUCAUCCGUGCGCUCGGUGAUCAGAUGGAGGAGAAGUACGUCGUGAAGAAGCUGCUGCGAGCCGUCUCCAACAAGUUCAUCCACGUUGCUUCGUCGAUUGCAUUGUUCGGUGACACGAACAAGAUGGCCAUGGAGGAGGCCAUUGGUUCACUCAAGGCGCACGAGGAGCUCGUCAAGGGGCGGGAGACGGCACGUGAAGAAGAGCAGCUCCUCAUGGCGAGAGGGCAUGACUCAUUGCAAGGAAGCGGCUGUGGUGGCCGUGGCCGUGGCCGCGGACAUGGCCAUGGUUGA